rnacentral:lncRNA from 1 species
AGCAAGGUUGGAAGGGGCAGUUGACGGCUGUAGAAAGAAAAGGCUACGGAGGUUCUAAGUUGACGGCAGAGAGAAAAAAAAUCAGGGAGGCAAACAGGAGAGAAACAAACUGCGAGAGGGUAGCGGCCGAGGGUAGAAGAGAGGAAGCAACGAAAAAAAGGAAAACCUGGUUCGAGGUUGCGAGAGGACGGCUGAGCCAUCUUCAUCGUUGUCCAUUUGUGUUCCAUUGAAGCUCCGGCAGAACCAUUUGAGCCUUCCUUUAGUCAUCCUACGCUUCAUUUCCUUUGUUUAAGGUAAGACCUUUAACUCCUUUUGGUAGAAAGCUGUUCCUUUUAGAUGUCAUUUGCUUCCUUUUACUGUCUACCAGUUCUGCUUUACUUUCCAUGAUUAGUCGUUGGUCCUCCGCUGUUAAGGAUAUGAUAUUUGGGGGUUUAUGUGAUGAAUCAGCAGGACUCAUUGGAAUCAUAUUGCACGAUAGUGUUUUGGCCAAACAAAAUUGCAGAAAAGUUUGCAGCUUUGGUCGUUCUAUGCUUACAAUUUUGGGACUGGGUUUUAAGAGACAGAAACUUAAGAAUUUUUGGGGUUGAUUGCUUGCAUUUUUGCUGUCUUUUGUGUCGGAUUAUGACUUAGUAUAUGCCUAUCAUGUAAGGUUGCUAAAAACUCAAGGCUUCAGGGGUUGAAAAGUUUUUUUUGUUGCGAGAAAAGCUUGCCGUCAAUGCUUCCUGUAUGUCGGUUUCUCUGCUUUUUUUGGUUGUGUGUAAAUUUAGAGCUGGGGAAGGCCUUGUUAGCCUGUCAUCUUGAUUACCAUUAGGAAGAGCUGCACUAGUUCUUAUGUUUGCUGUUUUUGCCUUCUCGCAACAACUCACUAAACGGGGUUUUGUCAUUCAAUUUGCUGUUUAAUCUCAUGUUGAAAAGAAUGCAGGAUGCUUGAUGUUUCUGUUGUUGCUUUCUUAGAUUUUUGUCCAGCUGAGAUUCGAUGCAUAAUUUUCUGCUGCAACAAGCUCGAAGCUCUCGGUUUGUUGCAGCAGCGUGGACAGACCUUUUCUUUUUCCUUGGUUUGUUGAAGUUUCGGUUUGCUUGAAAUGUCUGAUCUGUUUGCUAUUUGCCUGAGAUGUCGUGGGAGUGUUGGGAGCUUAGCAGUAGAGGCUAGCAGUUUGCUUGGUCUGUGAUUGCCGAAAGCUUCAUAGCUUGCUGAAAUUUUGUUGCAGCACGUUACGUUGCUUGGCAUGAAUAUUUCCUUGAUUUUGCAUCAUUUCUUUCUGCGUUUUACUGGUUUGAAUGUCAAAGUUGUGUGUUGUGUUGUUUAAUUCAAAGUUUGAGUUAGUUUCUGAAAUCUAUGGUUGAAGAUAAAAAUGCAUCCGGCAUUCACUCUAGUUGCAGAAACCUGCGCAUAAAAUCUGCUGCAAUGAGCUCAAAGCUCUUGGUCCUGUUGUAGCAGCAUGCGCGAAUACCUUUUCUUUUCCUUAGAUGGCCGAAGCUUUGGCUUUGUUUCAAACACUUGAUUUGGUUUGUAGCCUGACUGAAAUGUCCUAUGCGUGAUUGGGAACUUGGUGUCAAAGGUCAUCAGUAAUUUCUGGUUGGAUAAAUCUGUUUGCAUGAUGAAAUUGCCGCAAGCUUGGAAACCAAAAAUGCAGCAGGCUUCACUUUCGGUUGCUGAAAUUUUUGAUUGUUUAAACUAGGGAAAUUUGCCAAAUUGAUCCCUAACAUUAUCACAAAAAACUUUUUUAGUCCUUAACAUUUAAAAUUUGUCAAAAUAGUUCCUAACAUAUAAAUUAUGAGCCAGUUUGGUCCUAAUGCUCGUAUUUGCUCUUUUUUUCGGCUAAAAAUAGCACACCGACAUAAUUUCAAGGGCAAAAUUGGAAACAUUCGGUAACCCAUAAUUUUCCACCAUUCUCUUUCUUUCUGAUGGCAGCUUGCAUAGCUAGAUUCCUGGAAUUGGCUCAAAGGUUUUUGAGUUGGGAUCUAACACACACGACCAAAAAUAUUGAGGAUGAAAAGAAACGUACUGGUAGUGACUCUGAUAGCAUUGGUGUUUGUCAAUUCAUCAUUUGCAGAAUAUUCCAGAAAUCAUCCCAAGGAUAACCAUACAAAAUCGAGUCAACAAGAAGAGGAUCAAGAACUAAGAAGUGCUCGAAGAAGAAAUAGAGUUGGCUGGCAGUAGAAGAGGCCGCAGCGGAGGAAGAAGAUCAGGAGGAUCAUCAAAUUGUGACCCUCUUUAUUCAUAUUUAUUUGGAAGCUGCGGGCAAUGGCCUUUCUCAAGGUCUUCUGGAAACAACCCUUUCCUGCCUAGGCCAACUCCCCCUCCCUGCCCGACUCCACUGCGGCCGCCAAUUGUGCAGCCUUUUCCUCCUCUUCCUCCACUCAUUCCUUUACCGCCACCGCUACUUCCUUCCCCUCCACCUGCAGUGCUACCACCACUGCUCAUACCUCCACCACCACCCAUAUCGCUGCCUUCACCCGUAGUCCCUUUACCGCCACCGGUUCAACCAUCACCGCCGCCUGUAUCACCUUCACCCCCACCACCUGCAAUUCCUUCCUCGCCCCACCAUCCCCAUCCCCUCCACCACCUUCACCAUCGCCACCUCUGCCCUUACCACCACCACCACCACCACCCUUGGUCCCAUCGUCACCCCCACCUUCACCAUCCCCUCCUCCGCCUGACCUCCCCAUUAUUUCCCCCCACCACCACUAGUUCCUUCCCUAUUAUAAGCUUCCAGAUUCUCAAAAACCUUUGAGCCAAUUCCAGGAAUCUGGCUAUGCAAGCUGCCAUCAGAAAGAAAGAGAAUGGUGGAAAAUUAUGGAUUACCAAAUGUUUCCAAUUUUGCCCUUGAAAUUAUGUCAAUGUGCUAUUUUUAGCCUGAAAAAAGAGCAAAUACGAGCAUUAGGACCAAACUGGCUCAUAAUUUAUAUGUUAGGAACUAUUCUGACAAAUUUUAAACGUUAAGGACUAAAAAAGUUUUUUGUGAUAAUGUUAGGGACUAAUUUGGCAAAUUUCCCUUUAAACUACUUAAUUUGCUUGUUAUUUGAAAUAUUUGAGAGCUUGUGAGUGGAGUUGAUUCGAAGCUUUACAUGAACUUGGUGUUGCUGGAAGUUUACAUGUACGGAUAGAAGGUCAUGGCUAAAAAAUUGCAGAAGCAAAGUUUCUUCGUAGAUUGCAUGCCUUGCAUGAAAACAUUUUCCAGAAAUUGCAUUCUAAGCCCUUAAGUUGUGUUUAGUGCUAUUAUGGCCCAACUAAUUGGAUAACUUAAUCAAUUUUGUCCCCCUUAACAUGUUUUUUUCCUUAAUAUGUCUUAACAUGAUUUUUGUAUAGAUUCUUAAUGAUUUUUAGGAUGAAUUUGAAGGGUUUAAUAACUUGUUCUAGAUUUGUAGUUUUGAUUUGAAUUACUUUGGUGAAUUUUGGAAAUUUUAUUGUUUAAUCAUAGCAAAUUAGUUUUCAUUUAUUUUUUGUAUCAUUUGGUUUGGGAUAGGUUUUACCUAAAGUUCUAAUUUCAAGUUAUUUCCUUUUAGCCCCUUAACUUUUGUAAUAAUACGUUGAUCCCUUGAAACUUCUUCGAUUCUUUCAAAUGGGUAUUUGUUUGUUUCAAUUUGAUGAAUAGGGGUCGUUCACUUUCAUUUGAAGGUUUUGUUUGAAAUUUCAUGUUUAUUUCCAUUUCAUAUAAUUUUGUUAAUUAAAGUGGUACCUUGACCUUUUUUAUUAUUUUGAAGGGUAAAUUAGUAAUUUCACUUCGUUAGGGCAUCGAUUCAAAGGAGGUACACUCUACCCUUUUAUUUGCACUUUAUUUGACCCUAUGUGAUCCAACGUGCUAAGUGAGAAUUGCAUGUCUACGUUGCUUUCCUUGCCUUUCUUUAAUUCCUUUCAUUUAUUUCAUUUACUUUUGCUUUUUAUUUAAGUUAUUCAUUAUGGGGUAUGUGUACAGCUCUUGGCUUGUAAUAGAUAGGGCUCGGAGAGCAUUUUGUCCAUUUCCCCUUCCCCUUUUGCUUUAGUUUAGCAAAUGUAAUAGGUUCGUUGCUUGCUUUUGUUGCUACGUGUUAAUUUGCUCUAUUAGGCUCUUGCAUCUAGUCGAGCAUACUAAGUGUUAUGUGCUACGUGUUUGUAGAUGAUUUGCAUGUCUACUUACUUUUUAUAGUCAUGGAUGAAUGUAAUGGAUGAAUGCACGUCACCACACUAGUCCAACGCUAGUUGUGGCUCAUUGUCCCGCUUUCCACUAGUCCAACGCUAGUAGGAAUUCAUAGAUGGGUUAGUCCAACGUUAGACCCUUAGGGAUUCCCUCGCUAGUUCAUAUUUGCAUGUUUCACUACAUUUCAUGCAUUUUUCUUAGCUUUUAGCAUUUGGCAUGCCCCUCCAACCCUUUCCCCUUCAUCUUAGGUUUUUGCAUCCUCAUGCUAGGUAUAGGGUACAUUUGCCUGAGAGUUCCCUUUCGAUAAGGGAAACGAGCGAGUGUGGCUACAAAAUAGCCUUAGCACGCUAGUUCUUCCUUCUAAUCAAAAGAAAAAUUAAAGUCGUGAAAUUAGGAGUCAUUCCCGCACCCGACUUGAUGCAUUCCUCUAGGUUCAUGCACUCUCAUUCUUAUCAUAUCACUUCCUCACUCUUUUAUCCACAUUUUCUCACUACUUAUAUUUUUCUCAAUCCAAAUGCCAUGUUCACACACUUUUCUUCUUGUCACUUGUUUUUCUACUUCGCAAAUUGCACCCAAACGCACUUAUAUGUAUCUACUAUUAUAUUUUCAUCCACUCGCACACAAACACUUUCAUUUUCUUCAUUGGCACACAUUACACUUUUCUUACAAUUGCACACUCGCACUCGCCUUCGUAUUUUCACAUUAUUUUGCAUUCCCUUACAUUUUCACACGUGCACUCAUAUUUGAGUCUUCAUUUGUAUCAUUCGCGACCUCUAUGAGGGCUUCCCUUAUUGGCCACCACAACUCAUGUGGUUGGGAUCAAAAAGUCUCGUAAGAGACAUUUUUAGAUUUAGGAUUGCAUUUCUUUUUCAUAUCCAUUAGUCAUAUCCGACAUGCGAAACAUACUUUGGGUAGAAAAACUAGGAAAAGAAGGGCUAAGUCACGCAACUAGUUUUUUGCUAGGGUAAGGGAGUGCCUUAAGCUUUGCCUUUGCCUUCUCCCUUAUCAAAUGUGACCCCCGAUCCCUUUCUUUGGUUACGUAGAGCUAAAAGUUCUUAAAAGGGGUUUGUUCACUUGCUUUUCAAAAAAUCACUUUUUGGGUGACUUGGUACACCCUAACUCUAUACCAAGUGGCGACUCCAUUUUUCAAUAAAAAACCCUUUUUGAACUUUGUUUGGCCAAAUCGUCGCAUUUUCAAGUCCCAUGGCCUUUUAUUUUCACUUUCACACGUUCACAUACAUAUCUCACACACCACACACACACGCCAAUAUCAAAAAGUGGGGCGCGACAAGUAGUGUAAGUAGUAAAGUAGGUUUGAAAAGAUCUGUGUACUGUAAAGAGGAGGGAGGCAUGGCUGAUGGUGUUCCAUUCGGUGUUAUAGGAGAUGGCCGAACCAAUGCAAGGGGAGCAGGAGAAUUGCGACUGCCCAGUCCAUUUGACGGGAUGUGACGUGGCUCGCCUUAGGAAUAGACAAAGCUUUUAUAGGGACAGGUUCCUCGAGGAGUUAGAGAGAGCCACGGACGGAGGUAGGAAGGCUUAUGCGUUGAGUGACCGAGUAGCUGACCAAAGGCAAGAGAUCUCGUCGCUGAUAGUGUCGAGGGAGCACAUGAGAUAGGACAUGGAAGGCUGGAGUGGAGAGGCCCUCCGUCUGCGAGAAGAGGUUAUUAAGUUGAAAACAGAUAUGAAAGUACAGAAAGGACUAGCCGAUAUGUAUAAUGAGGGGUUUGAAGAAGUAGCUUCCCUACUCCAGAAUCGACAGGUGGAGUACGAAACCCUAGCGGUGAAGUAUGAAGAGAAAAGUCAACGCGUGAUGAACUGGAUAGCUGACUACCAGCCCCUUGCACCUCAGAUGCUCGGGUGGAAUCACCUGUGGCCUAAUAGUGAUACGGAGAUAGAGGAUGAUCCCGAGAAGGACUCUGGGAACAUGCCCAUGGAAAAUCAAGUGGGAGAAGAUGGAUUUGAGGACCAGGACGGUGCUGGAGAGGACAUAGGAGAUGGAGCUAUUGUGGAUGCGGAUCCACCAGUUGAUGAGUAGUGGAGUUGGUCUAAGAGAGGUUUCAUUUGACGAAUCACCCAUUUUAUUAGUUUCAUGGAAUAUUAUUCCAAAAACUUUGGUAGGUUGAUUAGUGGUUGCUUGCGUAGAUUAGUCCUGUAGCUAGUCGAAGGCUAUAAUUAGACAGUUUGGACGCUAGGUUGUUAGACAUUUUCUUUUUGGGAAAUAGUUGGAUUAUUGGCCGAUGUGUAAGGGGGUCGAUUGUUCUUCUCGUUCGGAGUUAGCAAAUGAAACCUCCUACUUAAACAUUUUUGUUUUUAGUAUUUAUUAUCAUUAUAAUUUGUUUAAUGUAAUUUUCACCCAUAUUGUUUUAAGGGUAGUAUGCGUAAGGUAUGCAAGUAGGCAACUCUAGUUGGACCGUCUUAACAGCGUUAAAAGCGUGUUUUCUUAUGUACUAUAUAUAUGUAUACCUGUAUGCAUAAUAAUAAAUAGAGGUAAAAGUCUCACUUAGUAUGGGGCUCAUUUGUGUGACUUAGGAAAUGACACCAAGAACUAGGCGCGGCGGGAAUCGCAAUGGCAGCUCUAAUGGCGAGAACGUCCAGUGUAGUCGCAGCCAAGAACCGUAUCAAGGAAAUAAUGAUCAAGAUACGGGUUACCAGGGGCUGGUUCAAGCGGGCAUCAACCCUACAUGAUGUUACCAACGGAAUUAGUGACUGUCCUAACUGGAGUACCCCAAGCACUACAAUCCCAAUCCCAAUUAGCGCAAUUCCAGGCUAUCCAAACCCAGGGUCAUGGACAAGGGGGAACCCAAUCCUACUAUGAGAAAAUGAAAAUGGUCCAUGUCCCUACCUUUGAUGGAACUCCUGACCCGGAUUUGGCAGAAAAAUGGUUAGAUAAGACAGAAAAUAAUUUCGCACUUUUGCAAGUGCCGGAGGAGAUGAAGCACCUAAUUGUCAAACCCUUUUUGGUAGGAGAGGCUAACAAGUGGUGGGCAACUCUGGAACCUACCGUUGCCCCACCAGUAAGUUGGACAAAAUUUAGAGAGAAAUUCCUGAAAUACUUUUUCCUACCUGCCGUGAGGAUGCAAAAAAUAGAUUAAUCUGAAAAUCUGAGGCAAACAUCGGGUAUAUCUGUGGUACAAUAUUCAAAUAAGUUUACGGCGCUGGGAAGGUUCGUACCGUCGACCAUGGCGGAUGUCGAGUUGAAGAAAUAUAAGUUUGUACGGGGGUUGGCAAGUAGAAUUUAAACUAGGGUGAACACCGCGUACGCCCCAACAUUUAAUGAUGUACUGAAUGCUAGCGUGAAGGCUGAGGCUGACUGCAAAAGAUUGGAUGAAGAGGGUAGGAAUAAAAGGCCUAGACUAGGGAAUGAAUUGGCAGUGCCAGGAACACUGAAACCUGGCGGACGGUUCCGCUUAAUUAAGAAAAGUCGUGGGCGACCACCGAAGGUAACCGGAGGAAACACCUUUCCUACGUGCAAAAUUUGUGGAAAGAUGCAUCGAGUAGAAUGCCGACUUAAGACAACCCCUACGUGUAAGACUUGUGGGAGGAUGCAUCGAUGGGAGUACUAAUCUGGAACAGGGGCUUGUUUUGAAUGUGGACAGUUGGGGCAUAGGGCUAUGAAUUGUCCAAAUAGGAAGUCGGAAGGAGAUAAGAAUGGCAAGCCCGCCGAUAUGAAGCCAAAGGUUAACGCGAGGGUACAUGCAAUGACCGACGUUGAGGCGGAGGUGUCAGGCAACGUGGUCACAGGUACUCUUCUAAUUAAUUCUACGCCUGCAUAUGUGCUGUUUGAUUGUGGAACUAGUCACUCUUUUAUUACUAGGAAAUUUGCAAAGUACUUGUGCAUGCCUCCUGAAUGGAUGGACCACCCCUACCGAGUAGCUGUUCCAGGAAAUAAAAUCUUAGUGUCUCAUACUAGGUAUCCAAACUGUAGUGUGGAAUCGGAGGAUAGGAAAUUAGAAGUGGAUUUAGUGCAAAUAAAUAUGAGUGACUUUGAUGUUUAUCUUAGGAAUGGAUUGGCUAGCUAGACAUUUUGCCCAAAUUGAUUGUAGAAGGAAGAGGGUGUUUUCAUGAGACCGGGCGAGGAUGAGUUCUCCUAUCAAGGAAAUAUGGGUAAUAGGAAAGUUCGUCGGUUAGCCCUUCUAUCUGCUAUGCAGGCGUAUAGGGCAAUAAGAAAAGAAUGCGAGGCAUAUUUGGCUUACGUUGUAGAUAUGGAGAAGGAAGAGACAUCCUUAGAAAAGAUUCCAGUGGUGAAGGAUUUUCCCAACGUGUUUCCGGAGGACCUUCCUGGCCUACCUCCGGAUAGGGAAAUAAAAUUUGAAAUAAAUGUUAUACCUGAGGCGAAUCCCAUAUCCAAGGCCCCCUAUAGGAUGGCACUUGCGGAACUAAAGGAACUCAAGGAGCAAUUACAAGAAUUGUUGGACAAGAAAUUCAUUAGACCUAGUGUUUCUCCGUGGGGUGCGCCGGUACUCUUUGUAAGGAAAAAGGACGGUAGUCUAAGAUUGUGUAUCGAUUAUAGAGAAUUGAAUCGAAUUACAAUAAAGAACAGAUACCCCCUUCCAAGGAUAGAUGAUCUUUUUGACCAACUGAAGGGAGCUAAGGUAUUCUCUAAGAUAGAUCUAAGGUCAGGAUACCAUCAAUUGAAGAUAAAAGUCGAGGACAUCCAGAAGAGUGCAUUUCGUACAAGGUACGGGCACUAUGAGUUUUUGGUAAUGCCUUUUGGAUAAACCAAUGCCCCGGCAGCCUUUAUGGAUUUGAUGAAUCGGAUAUUUAAACCGCUACUAGACCGUUUUGUGAUAAUGUUUAUUGACGACAUUCUAGUGUACUCUCCAGAUGAAGAAACUCAUGCUGCCCACCUUAGGAUGGUCCUAGAGGUACUCAGAAGAGAAAAACUGUAUGCUAAGUUCAGUAAAUGUGAAUUUUGGUUGAAGAGCUUGGCAUUUUUAGGACAUGUAAUAUCAGGUCAAGGGGUGUCUGUUGAUCCAAAGAAGGUAGAGGCAAUUGUGGACUGGCCACGGCCCACUAAUGUCACUGAGGUGAGGAGUUUCUUAGGAUUGGUUGGAUAUUAUCGAAAAUUUGUGAAAGGAUUCUCCACCAUUGCUACGCCUCUCACUAGGUUAACUCAAAAGAGAGCAAAGUUUGAAUGGACAGAUAAAUGUGAAUCAAGUUUUCAGAAGUUAAAGGAGAAAUUAGUGUCAGCCUCAGUACUUACCCUACCCUCUGGAACGGAAGGAUUUGUGAUCUAUAGUGAUGCCUCUAAAAAUGGUUUAGGAUGCGUGUUGAUGCAAAAUGGAAAAGUUAUUGCUUAUGCCUCCCGUCAACUGAAAUCUUAUGAACAGAAUUAUCCAACGUAUGAUUUGGAGUUGGCGGCAGUAGUGUUCGCAUUAAAGAUAUGGAGGCAUUACUUGUAUGGUGUACAAUGUGAGGUAUUUACCGAUCACAAGAGUCUCAAAUAUUUGUUCACUCAAAGGGAGUUGAACAUGAGGCAGAGGAGGUGGUUGGAAUUAAUUAAGGACUAUGAUCUAACAAUCAGUUACCAUCCGGGUAAGGCAAAUAAGGUAGCCGAUGCCCUUAGUAGGAAAUCAAGGGUAUUAACAGAACCCACGAUAAAGGAUCAGAUGGAGAAUUUUGAGGUGAAAAUAGUGGAUUCCACUACUCAAAUGCUAGCUGCCCAGGUGGUCGCACCGACCUUGAUAGAUAGGAUUAAGGAAAUGCAGCGCUCGGAUGACGGGUUUGCAAAAAUUAGGGAAAAACUUGAAUUGGAACCCUUUGAUGGAUUUGAAUUGAAGGAUGAUGGGAGUUUGUGGAAAGAUGGUAGGUUAUGUAUGCCAAAGAAUGAAGGACUGAAACAGGAAUUGCUAAAGGAGGCACACAAUUCAAGGUUCUCGAUCCAUCUUGGGGGAACCAAAAUGUAUCGGAAUCUAAGGAGGAACUAUUGGUGGAAUGGAAUGAAACGAGAGAUAGCCAAACAUGUGGCGAAGUGUUUGGUGUGCCAACAAGUAAAGGCUGAGCAUCAAAGGCCUGCUGGCUUAUUGCAACCCCUAGAGAUUCCCCAAUGGAAAUGGGAACAUGUGACAAUGGAUUUUGUGGUUGGGUUACCUAGAACCAUUAGGAAUAAUGAUACCAUUUGGGUUAUAGUCGACCGAUUAACCAAAUCAGCCCACUUCCUACCAAUGUCGAACGGAAUAUCAAUGGAGAGGCUAGUAGAAAUGUAUAUGGAGGAAAUUGUAUGCCUUCAUGGUGUUUCAAUGAGUAUAGUGUCUGAUCGAGACUCUAGGUUCACGUCUAGAUUUUGGUCGACCUAUCAAGAAGUCAUGGGGACUGAUAUGAGAUUAAGUACCGCCUUCCAUCCCCAAACGGAUGGACAAUCGAAAAGAACCAUACAGACUUUGGAAAACCUACUCAGAGCUUGUGCGCUAGACUUUACGGAUAGUUGGGACAGGUUGGUGAAACUAAUGGAGUUCUCGUACAAUAAUAGCUAUCAUAGCAGUAUAGGCAUGGCACCAUUUGAGGCAUUGUAUGGACGAAAAUGUAGAUUCACCUUAUAUUGGGAUGAAGUAGGCGAGAAACUGAUCACUGGCCCUGAUUUGGUAGAACGAACUUUGGAGAAAAUUAAGAUCAUACGAGAGAGAUUAAAAUUAGCCCAGGACCGUAACAAGAGUUGGGCGGAUUCAAAAAGGAGACCUUUGGAGUUUCAACCGGGAGAAAAGGUAUAUUUGAAGGUGUCCCCUACCAGGGGGGUGAUGAGAUUUGGACUAAGUGGUAAGUUAAGUCCGAGAUAUGUGGGACCUUACGAGGUACUGGACAGAGUUGGACCUCUGGCGUAUCGACUGGCCCUCCCACCUGCUUUGUCAAGGAUACAUAAUGUGUUCCAUGUCUCCCAAUUGAGAAAGUACGUAUCAAACCCGAGUCAUAUUUUGGAGGACCAACCCAUCGAGGUGAAGGAGAACCUAUCAGUGGAGGAAGUUCCUCUAAGAAUCGUAGAUUGAAAGGAUCAAGUUCUAAGGAGAAGAACCAUACCCUACGUCAAAGUACAAUGGACGAACCAUACACCACGAGAGGCAACUUAGGAAUUAGAAGAGGACAUGCGGAAUAGGUACUCAUAUCUCUUUGAUCAAGUUACGCAAGUUUCGGGGACGAAACUUUUUGUAAGAGGGGUAGAAUGUGAAACCCACGAAUGUGGCACCAAUUUUAUUUCCUUAUUUUUAUUUAGUUUUUUUUUUAGCUUAUUUUAUUUGCUCAACUAAUUAAAAGAAUAAAGUUACUAAGUAAAAAGGGAAAAAAAUAAAAUGAGGUAACUUUAGGAUAGGGCAAGGGGUACUAAUAUAAGUAGUGCUAGGUUCAGGAUUUUAUUGAAACCCUAGACAGAAAAAUAAGCCCAACCUUACCUUCUUUCGUCUGCCUCCCUAGAGCAAGAGCCGUCAGAGAGGAGAGAAGGAGAAGCAGGCAACAUCGUCAAUCGAUCCGAUGACUAGGCAUCUAAACCUGUAAGUCUCGAGUUUACGCAAGAAAACCCCUCUUUUAUAUUUCAGUAGAUGUAUUAAAUCAUUCUAGGAAUUUUAUGAACAUGUAUUGUUGCUAUGUGGGUGUAGAUAUAUAUGUUUUGAUAAGAUUCGUACCUGGGUUAAUAGAAAUAGGGGGGAUUGAUUUAAUCUUGAGAUUAUAGGGUGUUGAAUCUGUUAAAAAAAAAAAGGGAAAGGGAAGAACAGCGGCGGCUGCCGCUGCUCUGUCUUGGCUGGACGUUGCAGAGGCAACGCCGCACUCAAGUGAAAAGAAUUUCAAGGGUUGGCCAAGGCUAAAAAAAAAAAAAAAAACGUGAGAUGAUGUCGCCAGCACUUGCUGGCGACAAUGGAGCAAUUAUGGUUGGCCGUUGAGGGAAUUGGGUCGCCAGAGAGUCUGGCGACCAUGGUCAAACAUGGUUGGCCUUUGGCCAACCAUGGGCCCCACCCAAAAUAUAUAUAAAAAAAGAUAAUAAUAAUAAUACUAAUAAUAAUAAUGAUAACAAUAAACAAAAAUAAAUAAGUAGAAAGGGAGGCAAUUUAAACUCGGACCAAGCUAUAGUAUAAAAAUUAUUGGUAAAUGUUUAAUAAAUAAAUUUUAAAUAUAACUAAGCCAUUCUUAUAGUAUAUCGUGACUAUUAAAAUGCAAGACCCAAUUUAAGCCAAUUGUUAGGAUGGAAGGGUUAGUCAUGUAAAAUUAUACUUAGUUAAUUACGUAUAAGAUAUUAUAAUGGAAAUCUAAGACACCAUAAUUUAGCCGUAUUAAGCCAAAUUAGACAAGGUAAGAUAAGUUCUAAAUUGUUAAACGAAAUGCUUAAAAUAAUAAUAAUAACAAUAAUGCUAAUAAUAGUACAAAUAAUAACACUAAUAAUAAUAAUCAUAGCGGUAAAUAAUAAUGUGGAUGAUAAUGCUAAUAAUAACGAUAAUAAUAAUAAGGAAUAAUUAAUUACAAAUUGACAUAGUAAAAUAGUAGUCAAGAUAGUAAGCAUGCUUAUGAAUAAUUAUUUUCUGUUAAAUUGGGAAACUUUACAAAAUGCACACUUUCCAAAUUAAGAAACUUUCAAAAAAUAGAAACUUUCCAAAUUAGAAAACUUUCCAAAAAUAGAAAUUGUCCGAUUUGAGGGGAAUGCUAUUAGGGUCCAUAAAAUGGUCUAGAUAUGAAUCUUGUACUUACUUAGGGGUUGUGUAUUUAUGCAUUUAUAGGAAGUAGCAACUAAUUAGGGAACCUAUGCAUUUGAUAGGUGCAAUACAAGGACCUAAGGUAGUUCCACUCGAG